UGUGACUCAGUGUUAGAGUGCUCACCUAGCAAGUGUGAGGCACUGGGUUCAAUCCUCAGCA
rnacentral:tRNA from 1 species